CUGGGACAUCUAAUGGGUCUGAUGUGUGGGCUCACCUCCAUAAAAGACAGCUCAUAUCAGACCUCAGACACAGAGCACGACUAGAACAAACCAGAGCAUCAUCUAGUCCUGCAGCAUCAGAGACCAGACCGGAACAACAGACAAGAUUAUUUACUAGUCCUCCAGCAUCAGAGACCAGAGAAGACCGGCCACUGCUCAGACCUUCAGCACUCCAGAGCUUCAGAGAGCAUUUCAGCAUUCAAUACAACACAAGCCUCAACAUCUCCUCCUCUGAACCAUGAAGAACCUGACUCCUCUGCUACUCAUGGGAAUGCUCUGCUCCUUCCUUAUGAUCCAUGCUGCUCCCGAGAACAUUGAGAUGAAGUUGCAGACUUGCUGCAAAUACUACUACCCCAACAUGGUCCCUAUUUUGGCUGUGGUGUCCAUUUCUGAGAGCCCUACAAACUGCUCCCUGAAAGCAUUACAGGUUAAAAUAAAGGCUAAUAAAAUAUUUUGCCUUGAUCAAGAAGAGGAGCAGACGAAGAAGUGGUUGAAGCGUUAUGAGACAUACAAAAAGAAACAGUCAGGGGCCAAAUAAUAUGCUAUUACCAUUGUGGUACAACUUUGUUAUUCCAAAAGCUUCCCGUGUUGUGUGAGCUGUUACAACUACCCAAGGGAUGUACUAUGAACUUUAUGUUAUAUUCUCAUUGUACAGGGAAUAAGUUCCCAAAUGUCUCCAUGAUUGUGUGCAUUUGUUGUAAUGGUGACUUGUGAAUGUUUGCAUAAGCUGUAUUAUUGUUUUCUCUUUAUACCUCUAUUUCAACAGGAAACCCAGACUGAGACCAAGAGUCUCUUUAACAGCUGGGCCCUGCAUGUACAUUACAAUACAUACCAUUUUGGUACUGUAUGUGUAAAUUAAUUCCUUUGUUAGGUCAUUUUCUUCUGGAUUUGUCUUGUGAUCCUGGCU
ensembl:lncRNA